AAAAUAAGACAAGAACAAGUUCCAGAUCUGUCGGGCUAAGUCUGGUCCUAUUGUUUCUUCACCAAGUUUGUGCCUCAGGCAGUUGGGAUGCUGGUAGAGGCAGGAGCUACCAAAAGAACCAGCAGAGGCUUGGGGUGUGCAACCAGAAACCUUUGUUGUGUGACCUGAGGCUGCCAGACACACUUUGCCCAGAGCAGCACCUGUUGAGACUUGCUGGGCUCCCAGUCCGGGCCGCGCAGACCAAAGCAGAAGCCUGGCGCCCCCUGCUGAAAAGUCUGAUGUAUGUGAGGUCCCUGCUCGCACAAAGCUGCCUCAGCCUUUGUACAGGCUUCUGCACGUCUGAGAUCAUCCUGGGCUUCAGCUACCAGCACCAGGAUAAGAAUCUGAAGCUCCAGUGAGGGGCUGGGGCAGGUGUUUUCUUGUACAAAACCACCAGCUGAUUAAGAAAGGUAGGUGGGGAGAAUCUCUUUCCACAGAUUCCAGGAUGGCAGGUGGGGAGAUAAGACAAGUCCCUGUGGCUUACCUUAGACUCUGGGGCCCAACACAGAAGCUCUGGGAAAUUUCAGGCUGACUCUGGGAAUUUGGUUGGGAAUAGCAGUCAGAACCUGGCUUCCGUUGCUCUGGCCACAUUUGAGAGGAUGAGAGCUAUUGGUGCACAUUCCAGAAUCCUGGAAUCAGAAAGGAACUAAAAUUUAUGUUGUGUGGUGUGUUUGUUUGUUCCAGGCUCUGGGCUAGAUGACUCACAUGUGAGGUUUCAGUUACUACUUCAACGUGUGUACGGUAAGGCAGCAUUCUCUCCAUGCCCAGGGCGGUCAUGAGACAUGCCCAAGAUCACACACCUACUGUGGUAGAAGCUAUUAGUUGUUCCCCAAUAAGUGUCUACUAUAUCUCGGUUAUGGAAACAGAGCUGCCUAGAAAGAAGACUACAUUUCCCAACCUUCUGUGUGGCUAGGUGUCAUCACGUGACCGAGUUCUGACCAAUGAGAAGUAAAUGAAGUGUCUCAGGGCAGCCUCUAGGAACCUUCCUUAAGGCACAGCUUGUGUUUGUGCACUCUCCCCCAUCCUCUUUGCUCUUUCUUCUAUUUUGCUGUUUGGUAGGUGAGUGCCACUUUGAUCCACGAGGAUGAGGGCCACCCACUAGGAACAGCAGAACAGUGAGCUGGAAGAAGACUGGGACAUGGUACCAGGCCCAGACUGCUGCCUCUAGGCUUUCACAUGAGAGGGAAAUAAACAUCUACUUGUUAAAGCCA
rnacentral:lncRNA from 1 species